GGCCCAGUGGCCUAAUGGAUAAGGCAUCAGCUUCGGAGCUGAGAUUGUGGGUUCGAGUCCAUCUGGGUCA
rnacentral:tRNA from 1 species